rnacentral:rRNA from 1 species
AAUGGGUCAGCGACUUAUAUUCUGUAGCAAGGUUAACCGAAUAGGGGAGCCGAAGGGAAACCGAGUCUUAACUGGGCGUUAAGUUGCAGGGUAUAGACCCGAAACCCGGUGAUCUAGCCAUGGGCAGGUUGAAGGUUGGGUAACACUAACUGGAGGACCGAACCGACUAAUGUUGAAAAAUUAGCGGAUGACUUGUGGCUGGGGGUGAAAGGCCAAUCAAACCGGGAGAUAGCUGGUUCUCCCCGAAAGCUAUUUAGGUAGCGCCUCGUGAAUUCAUCUCCGGGGGUAGAGCACUGUUUCGGCAAGGGGGUCAUCCCGACUUACCAACCCGAUGCAAACUGCGAAUACCGGAGAAUGUUAUCACGGGAGACACACGGCGGGUGCUAACGUCCGUCGUGAAGAGGGAAACAACCCAGACCGCCAGCUAAGGUCCCAAAGUCAUGGUUAAGUGGGAAACGAUGUGGGAAGGCCCAGACAGCCAGGAUGUUGGCUUAGAAGCAGCCAUCAUUUAAAGAAAGCGUAAUAGCUCACUGGUC